CCGGUUUUCCUCCCAUACUCCCAACAACUCUCCUGAAACUGCCCUCACGGGGCUUGCUGAGAAGUCCCCCUGAGGCUGGGUCCAGCCGACUCUUUUCAGUCCUGAUUCUCCCUGACCUUUCUGCUGCCUUCCACCUUCUGACUUUGACCCACAUUGUUCCUUCCCAGUGGCUCCUCUGUCCCUCUGUGUGUCUCCCCUUCCUGGGCCUGCAACUGUACCUUAGAAGUUGGUGGCCUCCCAGUGUCUGUGCUGGGUCCUCUCCUGGCUCUGUGUCCACGCUGCACAACUUCAUUUCUGCAGCUUCUGGGACCACUCAGAGAUGGGAUUCCUAACCUGCUUCCCGUCAGCUCCAGAUGCAGCUAUCCAGGGGCUGGAACUUCACCUCCAGGCUUCCCCGUGGGCCCUUAGACUUGGACACAUCCCAAACCAGCUUCAUCCUCUUCCCCUCAUUAUGAUGCACACAGCUUCUUCCCAUUCAACCUCCUCGUGAGGACCGGACUCCUAGCCACGCUGAAGGCAGAAGAAAACAGGCUCAGAGCAGGGCAGCUCGAAGUCACACAGAUCAGUCCAGGACUGGAGCCUCCUGGUCCUCAAAUCCCUUGGAGGAGAUCCUGGGCUGAGAGGGCUGAGGCCCUGAGGGCAGAAUGGGGACCAGCCACCGGAAAUAACCUGAGGCAGGUAGGUUCCAGUUCCAUUCUGCAAGACCCAGACUUUUUCUUUUUUUUUUAUUUGAGACAGAGUCUCUGUUGCCCAGGCUGGAGUGCAGUGGCAUGAUCUCCCAGGUUCAAGCCAUUCUCCUAACUUAGCCUCCUGAGCAGUUGAGACUCAAACUUUUCUUAUCACCAGACAAAGACACUCUGGGAGGCAGGGAGCUAGUGGAUACAUAGUUGUGUGUCAGUCAGGGCGGACUAUCCUGAGGAGGGCUCUCUAUUCAUGGGGAGAGUCAAGGGCUGUUGAUGUUAAUGAUUAGAUUUUUAAAUGUGCUUUGCAAUUCACAGUGCUAGCGGGGCAUUGUGGCUCACACCUGUAAUCCCAAUACUUUGGGAGGCUGAGGUGGGUGGAUGGCUUGAGCCCAAGAGUUCAAGACCAGCCUGGACGAUAUAGCAAGACCCCCAUAUCUAUAAAAAUAGUUUAAAAUUAGCUGGAUGUGGUGGCACAUGGCUGUGGUCCCAGCUACCUGGAGGCUGAGGCGGGAGGAUCACUUGAGCCCAGGAGGUUGAGGCUGAAGUGAGCUAUGAUUGUGCCACUGCACUCCAGCCUGGGCGACAGAGCAAGACCCUGUCUCAAAAAAAAAAAAAAAAACCACAAUGCUUUCAAUGACAUAUGUCAUCUUGUGGCCUCAAGUCUUUUUUGGAACAAGGCAGUGCAUAAAGACAUAAUCAUUUGACAGUCAAAGAAUACAG
rnacentral:lncRNA from 1 species